ensembl:lncRNA
CAAAGAUUCACUAGCCAUUUAACAACCACUAAAAAAAAUCACUAGCCAUUUAACAACCAUAUUAACUGUAGUUUUGGCAGUGGUGUCAAUACAUUCUCAUGUUUUUAUCAUAUAUUAAAUCCUUGAUAGCUAGCUCCUUUGAUAGUUCUGGCAUAGGGUAUUAUGUGAUAGAGAGGGGUAAGAACACCUAGAGCAAGAGGGAUGAGUGGAAUUGCUGCUUUGGGCAGAUACCUCUCACUGUAUGUUCUAGCAUUAUUACCAAAGACUUUACUUGGGGUUUUUAUUGCAGACAAUCCAGUAACCAAACAGUUCAGUAACACUACUUCUACUUAUCAUUCUUUUCAAUCAUCCUAUUCCAUAUCCCUCUGAGCUCUUACAAUGCCCUGGCUCAAGUCAGGGAAAGCCCCCUGUCUAAGCUCUCACAGCUGAGGCUGCUAAUUACAGCUGAUUCUCAAUACAAAGCAGGUGGGAAGCUACGGGAACCUUGGUGUCAUGUCUUUCUAUGCAGUGGCUGAUUUCUGGUGUUAGGUGUUCUAGCGACACAGAUAUUUAUUGGAUUUUACAGAGCUCUUACUCUUUGGGUGUGUUUUUCUGACACAAACAUAUCCUUGUGUAGAAACUUCUUUCAAGCACCUCGAAGAAACUAUGUUCACUUCUGACUGUGAUGCCAAGAGCUUCUAAUGCCAACAGAAAAUUAAGAAAAGAUAUUUCUGCUCAGAGUAUGCAAAGGAUGAUAGGGUCAGGACCCAGCUGCCUGUGCUUGUGAAGCAGAGUGGGAAAGGAGGAGCUGAUGCACACUUCAUGUUUUAUGCUGACUUGUAAUGCAGAUCUCCAGAAGCCUGAUGCAUGUCAUUUCACUUACUGUUUCACAACAUCUUUUCAAUUUUCUGUUCAUGUGACGCUCCCAGUGCACUCUCUGCUUCAUGCUGCUGGUAGUGUGACACUGAAUUUUGCCACCCUGAAUUUAGGUUGCAAAAUUAAAUUUUGUCUAUGUUAAUAUGACUCAGUUCCAGGUGCAGCAGAACACACCUCAACUCAUCUUUGACAUUGUUAUUCCUCAGUGCCUGUGAAGCUGAUGUUCUCAUUUAAAAGCCACUGUAGAGAAGGCUCCCCAGUGAGCUAACAUUCAGGUCACAGGCAAAGAAUUACCAGUUGUCAUGGUUUCAAAUGAAGCCAACUAUACAGCAGUCUUAUAUCUUUGUAUAUUCUCAUCAAGAUACUUUAUAAGCAAAGCAAUCAAUGUAAAAAUUAUAUAGAAUCUAAGAAUAUUUUUCCUUCAUGAUCAUAUAGUUGUGGAGUUUUAAAUUGUUUUAAUGUUCUGUAAAUAAUAAUCUGUCAUGGUUGACAUUCAAGAUGGAAAUAUGUUGAGAUGAUCUAAACUAGAUUAUUAGCUAAAUGUUACUGUGAGCAUUUUUAUACUUUGACACUGAAAUUAUAAUUUUGGGCUGUACCAAUAAGUCUGUUCAGAUGACUGAGCCAAUUCAUUUCCUUCAGAGUGUCUUCAGACUUAAAAAUAGAAUAGCUUUUCUACUGAUAUAUUCUGAUCAGAAAAGAUUAUUUUACAGCUGUAAAGAAAAACUUCUUAAAAUUCAGGUUGGAAAAAUGUUCUGGAGAGAAUACUAGGAGAAAUUUAACAGCUGUAGAUUUGCAGAAUAUUUAGCAGUAAGACAAUGAAAAUUUAGUCUUCCUGUUGUAUUUUUUUUAACAAUUCUGUAUAGGUAAGGUAAGCAGCUCCUAACUGUGUUUUGUGGCCUGCGCGCGCGCACACACACACACAGUAAUGAUAAGUAAUGAUAAAUGUGAAAUGCUAGCAGGCAAACUGUUUGCAAUGCAUGCACUGAAGACAGGCCUAGGACUGGAGUCAAACAUUGCACAUCAGUCUGCAAGAUUAAAAUGUUUGUAGUGUAGCAGUGUACAGUUUUUAUUGGAGUCUAUCCAGAUAUUUGUAUGCAGAGAAUUAUUGCUCAAUGACAAAUUGUGAUGAUACAAUCUAGCAUGUUGGGAAAUUUCCACUCUAGUAUGGUCAUGUGCCAAGGAUAAUACCUUUUGGGAAUAAUAUGAGAAAUGAUGCAUUCUGGCCUCAAAAGAUAAAUGGACAGCAACAGCAAUUUUCUAUGAUUUUGGAAACUUGACAGUUUCUGUACCCUAAUCAGAGAGGAUUAGCAUUUUCACUAGUUUGUGCUAAGAUUGUAAUACUAAAUGCUGGCACCAUCCUUCGGUGCAUGUAAACAGUCAUCUUGGGACAAAGUGCCGUGGCAUAGAUGCGCGUUUGGGCUGUGUCAAUUAGCACUUCCUCCAUGAGCAGUUUAGAAAGCAUCAUGAAAUUUGCUUUGUAAAUGUUAUCUGCAAUAUUGGGGUCUGGCCACAUGAAAGACCACUGUGAAACCUAGGGGACUGGAUUGUUUCACUGUAUUCAUCACCUGUGUAUGCUGGAACUGGUUUCUUUUCAGAGCUGGGACUAUUUUUUGUCCUUCAUGUUCAGGAACUACUGUAUGUACACAGAUCGUACUCAGCUGAAAACUGAGUAAAUCCUGAUUUGUCCAAUAUUUCCUAGAGUAUUCUAACAUACUCUUGUGGUGAUACUCAGAGGUGUACUAUGUCUGAGUAGUUCCUUUAGUAACAACAACCUUCAUUAAUUACAGGUAUUGUUUUCUCUUGUUUAUGCAGGGACUAGUGUGCUCUGGUAGCUAACAGCUUCAAUUUUUAUAUCUGCUCUUCACCCAUUUUAUCUUGUCAUUUUAUCUGUGAUGUUUUCUACUCUAUAAAUACUAUUUCAGAGUUUGUUAGUGGGCUCUCACUUCUUCUCAAUCUCAUUCCUCUCCCAGACCAUGCAGCAAAGCUCUCUGUUUAUAACCACAUAAAAGUUAUUAAAACUUUUCAGAGACCCAUUCCUACAGUAAGUGCAGCAUGUAUGGUAAUACAGCAAGGUUAUUUUGUAAGGCUUUGCCUAUGCCUUUGGGCAAACCACAAUAUUAUAUGGAACAUCUUAUUCUGAAAUAAGUAUGUAUAAUUUUCUGCUUUACAAAGUCAGUUUACUUGGUUGACAUAUAUUUGACAAAAAUGUUUGAAGGAAUGCAAGUCUAAUUCCAAGACUGGUGCAGCCUUGGAAACCUUCUAAAUGCAGUGGAUGCUAGAUUAGGCCUCUUCACUUGAGCCCUUCCUGCUGCUGAGGGUUUUCAGGUAAGGCUGAGGCUUUACCACACAUGCUGUAGGCAAUGAGAACUUGAAGAAAUUUCUGCAUUCUGUACUUUUGAACCAGGCACUGAAAAGCACAUAUUAUGCAAGAUCAGAGUUUCUGCAUCAAGUGAUUAAUAGCUUUUCAAUGAGCUAGCCUAAGAGGUGGUAGUAGGUUUCCUAUAGUUUUUCUCUGACUGCCUUUGUAUGGGAACCUGGAAUAAAAUAAGCUUGAAAGAGAUGUGAAAAUCA